rnacentral:tRNA from 1 species
GGGGCUGGGGCUCAGUGGCAGAGCACUUGCCUUGCACUCAUGAGGCCUGGGUUUGAUCCUCAGCACCA